CUGGCAGGCAGGAUCUGGACAGAGUUUGAACUUUUCUAACUUUAGAUACUGGAACAGAGGACAGUACUACUGUGAGGCACAGAACAGACUUGGAGCUCAGAAUGCUUCUGCUAUACUGGUCACAGUGCAAGGAGGUCAGUCACUGAUCGCGGCUGCAGCUGUGGGAGUGGCUGCCAUUUUGGCUCUUGUGUUUCUGGGUGUUGUGUGCAUGAGGAGGAGAAAAUCAACAAAUGAGACAGAAGGGGACAGGCAGGUGA